rnacentral:rRNA from 1 species
UAAGGAAUAUUGGACAAUGGAGGCAACUCUGAUCCAGCCAUGCCGCGUGAAGGAAUAAGGCCCUAUGGGUUGUAAACUUCUUUUAGACGGGACAAAACCCCUUUACGUGUAAAGGGUUGAUGGUACUGUCAGAAUAAGUAUCGGCUAACUUCGUGCCAGCAGCCGCGGUAAUACGAAGGAUGCAAGCGUUAUCCGGAAUUAUUGGGUUUAAAGGGUGCGUAGGCGGACUAAUAAGUCAGUGGUGAAAGCCUGCAGCUUAACUGCAGAAUUGCCAUUGAUACUGUUAGUCUUGAGUACAGUUGAGGUAGGCGGAAUGUGUCAUGUAGCGGUGAAAUGCUUAGAUAUGACACAGAACACCGAUUGCGAAGGCAGCUUGCUAAGCUGUAACUGACGCUGAGGCACGAAAGCGUGGGGAGCAAACA